CCUACGGGUGGCAGCAGUGAGGAAUUUUGGUCAAUGGGCGCGAGCCUGAACCAGCCAAGUCGCGUGAAGGAUGACUGCCCUAUGGGUGGUAAACUCCUUUUAUAAAGGCAUAAAGUGAGGCACGUGUGCCUUUCUGUAUGUACUUUACGAUUAAGGAUCGGCUAACUCCGUUCCAGCAGCCGCGGUAAUACGGUGGGUCCGAGCGUUAUCCGGAUUUAUUGGGUGUAAAGGGGGUGUAGGUGGGUUGGUAAGUCAGAUGUGAAAGUCUGCGGCUCAACCGUAAAAUUGCAAUUGAUACUGGCAGGCUAGAGUACAGUAGAGGUAGGCGGAAUUCGUGGUGUAGCAGUGAAAUGCGUAGAUAUCACGAAGAACUCCGAUUGCGAAGGCAGCCUACUGAACUGCAACUGACAUUGAUGCUCGAAAGUGUGGGUAUCAAACAGGAUUAGAUACCCCGGUAGUC
rnacentral:rRNA from 1 species